GGGAGUGUCAGAAAACAUGGGGCUAGAUAAGUCAGGAAUGAAACCAGGCAGACCCAUCUUACAUUUGCUACCCCCUUCUCUCUCUCUCUCUCUCUCUCUCUCUCUCUCUCACACACACAAGUCUGGUUUAUUUUCCAGAAACUUUCUCCCUCAAGAUGGCGUACUCCAUGCGCUGGGUUCUAAUGGUUUUCCUUAUCUUGAUGUUUCUUGUGGCCACAGUUUUAGGACAACAAUGCAGUCAGAAAAUAUGCAACAACCGAUGUAAAACUCAGUGUGGCAUAUGCGUUAACUCCAACUGUGUGUGCUGUGAUUGCUCGCUCUGUGGAUGAUAAUGUUGGUGUGCCUCAAAAAUAAUGAUUGCCCUGUCUGUUCAAAGGGUUGGUUUUGGGUUUCCUUCCUCCUUUUUUGGGCUUUGCCCAUUUGGGUGUCGGGGCUUUGCCCUUCGGCUUGUUGAAUGUAUUGGGCUUUGUUUCAUUUGGUGUUUUUUUUUUCUUUUCAUCCAAUCUUUGGUUGGAUUUCCCUCCCCUCCCAAGACUUAAUGUACUAUUCGUCAAGUUUUUCUAAAUAAAAUGUCAUCUUUGCCGAUAAAAAAAAA